GUAAAAUUCAGUUUUUCCAAUACCACUCCAACUAAACAGAAUGAAUGGAACAUUAGACUCUCAGGGCCUGUGGCUGCAGGUACAUCACUCACUGAACACCUUCCCAGCUAUGCAGCUAAGGGGCGAAGGCCGAUGUUCUGCUUAAAAUCACAAGCCUACCAGCACUUCUUCUGCAGCAGUUCUUCCUCUACUCCCCGGUUACUUACGUUGAAGAGGAGCAGUUUCCAGCCAUGUUCUGUGUGCAGAAGAUGUGGUAGGGACUGCAGGUUCUCUCUGCAUUAUUUUUUGCUGAGAUGAAUUUACCCACCAUGCCAUGCUGACCACCCUUUGAUGAGAGCUGUCCUGCCAUCACCUAGCAGUCUGAGCACAACAAACCAUGCAACAGCGAUACAGAUCCCUAUGACAAAGUUGUUCUCACUCGAGGAUGGUGUUUCAUAUGGUGCAUUUGUUUCCUGGUGAAUCUGCGUGCUCUGCUCCCUCUGCAAUAUUCAUUAACACAGGUCACUUGUACAGUAAAUAUUUAUUUAACUUUAAGAUUUAUAUAGUGUCUUUUCCUACAGCAUCUAGGUGGUAUUUGCAGAAAUUAAAAACAUAAGUUAUAUGAAGCUUUCAAUAAUGUUUUGCAUUAAACUGCUACUGUUGUCAGAAAUAAAUCAGCCAUAUUGUCAUGAAAUGAAAUAAACGUAACAAAACCCAAACAAGCAGAAGUACAAAAUCAAUCAGCCAAAAGCUAACCAAAUAAAUGUGGCUUGCAUGAAUACAAGCAAGAGAGAUUGGCUAUCAGCUGCAUCUCUGAAAUACCUAGACAUGAAUGAAAGCAGGCAUCAUUAAUCUGCGUUGAUUGCUCUUGCUUGCCAUGCAGUGCUUCCUAUCUGACCUGAACACUAGCAGGAAGCCAUGUUGCUAACAGUAUUUGUAGGCAAAUGUGCAUUUGCAGCCGAACCAGCGUAAGAGGUGAGCAAUCAUGAUGACUUCAAGGUUUAGGCAUGUGAAAGAUGAAUAUUUUUCUCCAGCAGCUAAAGGCACCUCAAGGGGCUCCAGCCCUUGCCUCAACCUCCUUGUUUAUUUUCUCCUUUAUCUCUCCGUUCAUUACUCCAUCAGCUGCUAAAGAGCAAUUAAUAGUGCUGCUUUGCCAU
rnacentral:lncRNA from 1 species